GAAGAUUUACCCAAAAUGUCACGUAUCCAUGUUCUCCAAAGUUGCUGUCUGAUCAGUUUGCCAAGGCUUUUUUUUUCCUUCCUCUCAAUCUUCUUAAAUAAGAAUGUUUGCUACAUUCCAAUCUGAAGAGAUGUCUAGAAUCUUGGAAGAUGAUAACCAGAGCAUCCAAUUGCUCCAUUGUGGUCUUUUCGUUUUAGAUCCUUUGGAUCUGUUAGUUUUCAGGUAUAUUAAAAUAUUCAAUUUUUUAAACAUUUCAUCACUUGAUUUACCUGGUUUUCAAAUAUUUUUGGAGAAGUCUUUGUCUUCCACGACAGCACAACAUUUUAAUUGCACAGAUAUUUGCUUUGUUCGGAUCAUAACUUUUCCCAUCUGUUUGUUUGGGUCCCACAAGUUCUCUUACUUUUUGAUGCAAUUUAUGUCUAAUAGAUAGAUAGGAUCUUGAGUUUCUUUUUGGAUGGGGAAUUUAAAAAGAUGGCCAUUUUCUAAAGAUUGUUAAUUUAGUUUCAUGAGGGGUGGCUCAGCUGUGUUCUCGGUUCCUGUGACCAGGUUCAAUCCUGACUUCUGGAAACUGUCCGUAUAGGUUUCUUGUUCUCCUUGUGACUGGGUGUUCUGAUUUCCUUCCACAUCCUAGUUAAUUGGCCACGAUAAAUUGCCCCCAGUAUGUUUGUGAUAGUAGAAUCUGGGGCAGUUGAUGGGAAUGUAUGGAGAAUAAAAGUAGGUUUCGUAUAGAUGGGAGCUUGAUGUUUGGUGUGGACCUGAUGGGUCGAAGGGCCUGUUUCCAUGCUGUUUGACUAUAAUUCAUUUGUAGAUUUACUCCAUCACAAAUAUUGACAGUUGGCUGUGAGUCUUUAAAGUAAGUUACAAACAUUUUUUGGUGAAUAGGAAUUUAGUUGGAAACUGCAUGGAAUUGCAAUAUUAAAUUCAAAAGGUAUUAAAUUAGGUAUUUGCUGCUAUCUUGAUCAAGGCAGAAGCAUGAUAAAUCAUGCAGUGCUUAGUGCGUUAUUAUAAUGUUUGUAGAAUGUGUACGAUUUGACCCUUUGUCAUAUUUUACAAAAUCCUUAUGGAAUUACAGCUAAAUGCAUCAUUCAGGUGUAAUAGAGCUACCCCCAAGGUAUAAUCACAAUCAAAUGUUUUGCUGAUUUUGUCCAGGGCAUUAGUGAGGUACAACAUUGGGCUUUAGUAUUCCUAGAAUUUCAAUGUGCCAAUGAAAUUGCACACGUUUAGCUGCAUGAAUACAAGGUUGUACUUUGCUGUAAUGGCUCUAAUGUUUAAUGAAAUGUGAAACAUUUCAAGUGAGUCUGUGGGGCUGAUCCUGCCCCUGUAACCAUAACCAAGAUGAAUCAUUACCUAGAAAACAAGAAUGAAAUUACAAUACAUUCUUAUCACGAGCAUUUAUUAAUUAAAUAUGUGUGCUUUUUGUGCCAGUUUUCUACAAAAGAGCUGACACAUAAUUUCUUAGGGUCUUUUAUUCAACUGAGCAUUAUUCAUGGGAUGAGCUGUAAUAAAUGUUCCACUAAGCUAUUUGACAGUGGUGGAAUUACUCGCAUGUAUUCUUACAAAAAUUGGUGCAGAGUAAUAAGUUCAUAAAUUACAGGAGCAGAAUUAGGCCAUUCGGCCCAUCAAAUCUACUCUGCCAUUCAAUCAUGGCUGAUCUAUCUUUCCCUCUCAACCCCAUUCUCCUGCCCGUCCUAUAACCCCUGACCCUGGUACAAAUCAAAGUAAUAGGGUAUAGGAAAUCAGCAUCACAUUGUUUGCUUCAUGAUCCAGGAGAUUAUGUUAAUUCCAAAUAACACAAGACAUCUCAUGUUAUGGGAUCAAAUUUCCAACUUUUUUGGUCUGGGUGAGCAAAGUCCUU